AGUGAACGCUGGCGGUAGGCCUAACACAUGCAAGUCGAACGGCAGCACAGUAAGAGCUUGCUCUUCUGGGUGGCGAGUGGCGGACGGGUGAGGAAUACAUCGGAAUCUACUUUUUCGUGGGGGAUAACGUAGGGAAACUUACGCUAAUACCGCAUACGACCUACGGGUGAAAGCAGGGGAUCUUCGGACCUUGCGCGAUUGAAUGAGCCGAUGUCGGAUUAGCUAGUUGGCGGGGUAAAGGCCCACCAAGGCGACGAUCCGUAGCUGGUCUGAGAGGAUGAUCAGCCACACUGGAACUGAGACACGGUCCAGACUCCUACGGUAGGCAGCAGUGGGGAAUAUUGGACAAUGGGCGCAAGCCUGAUCCAGCCAUACCGCGUGGGUGAAGAAGGCCUUCGGGUUGUAAAGCCCUUUUGUUGGGAAAGAAAAGCAGCAGGUUAAUACCCCGCUGUUCUGACGGUACCCAAAGAAUAAGCACCGGCUAACUUCGUG
rnacentral:rRNA from 1 species